GCCUCUUUUGGACUCCAGCUCUUGUUCUCUUGCUGAAUCCCACCGCCACCCCUUUAAGUCAUCAGCUGUGAUUCACCUCUGGGUUUCUGAAGGCUAGAAGCUUCCACAAUGAGCCAGGAAACAAGUUCUGAUUGGCUGGGAACAGACCUCUGCUCCAAGAUUCAGGGCUGGCAGUAUUCCUUCUGUUCUGGUGGCUCAAUCUUCAUUGCUUUCCUCUGGACUUAGAAACUCCUCCUACCCAUGGAAUCUGCCAGCAGUUGGAUUCUUGACUAUCUUUAGGACUUUUCCUAAUCUCACCUUCUCCAUCUGUGAAAUGGAAAUAAUCAAAGG
rnacentral:lncRNA from 1 species